rnacentral:rRNA from 1 species
UACGGAGGGUGCAAGCGUUAUCCGGAUUCACUGGGUUUAAAGGGAGCGUAGGUGGCUUUGUAAGUCAGUGGUGAAAUAUUGCGGCUCAACCGCAAAACUGCCAUUGAUACUGCUUAGCUUGAAUCACGUCGAGGUGGAUGGAAUAAUACAUGUAGCGGUGAAAUGCUUAGAUAUGUAUUAGAACACCGAUUGCGAAGGCAGUUCACUAGGCGUGUAUUGACACUGAGGCUCGAAAGCGUGGGGAGCAAACAGGA